rnacentral:pre_miRNA from 1 species
UGGUUUGAGGCCUGAUCCAAAGCCCAAGGAAGUCAGUGGGAGUCUUUCCAUUGGGUUCAGUGGGCUUUGGAUCAGGCCCUCAGUG